UCGACAUCCGUCAAAUGAAACGGAUUGUUUGCUUACGUGACAUCUGAUAACUUUGACACGGCAAACUAACAUCGGUGAAGAAUGUUUGUAUCUGUGGGUAAAAAUUCGGGCAUUUCUGUUAGACCGCGAUGACUGCAAUUGACUGAAAUAAAAACUAUAAGCUGUCUCUGCGAAGAAGAUGCAUUUUCUCGUUACCACGAUUAUCUUGACAACCGGGACAAGCGGUCUUCCAUCAUGCGGCGUGGCACAAAGU